CUUGCCAUAGUUUCAUUGAAAAGAAUUACUAGAGUAUACAGGCCAAUGGGAAGGGCAGGAGUCCCUUAGGAUAAUCAUAGCUGUUCCCACUACACUCUUCAAGGUCUUUUGUUCUUCCUUUCUCAUUAGAACAUGACAGCAGCUCUGAGGGGUCAGUGUUGGGAGCCAAUGAGAAAGCUGAAUUUAAGUGACUCACCGGGACCCUUGGGAUUCUUCAGAUGGAGAACUUGGCUGUGAAGGACAAGGCUUCUCGGCACUCCUCCGCUCAGCUCUGACCCAGACGGACUUCUAAGAGGCAUUAAUCACCUAUCUUCUGAAACAGGACCUAUCAAUUUGGGCUCCUUCCAGAACUGAAAACUGGUUACAAAUAUGAAACAGAUUUAACUACUGGACUUGAACUCCACAUAAGGAAAAAAAAAAAGAAGAAGAUCCUCAAAGAUCCUCAUCAAAGAAUAGAUGCAGUGUGACUGGCAGGGAUAUCAAAGAGGUGCACUAAAAUCUACGUCCUGUCCUUUUGUCCACCGUGCUUUCUCUACUGCAUUUGCCCUCAGUGACCCGAUUGCCUCCAUUGUAACUGAAGGUGGGGGUCCAGCUGCUUGCUGCUCAACAGCCAAUAAGGAGGCAAGGUUGGUGGAAAUGAAAGUUUGCUGUAUUUUGGAUGCUAGCAAUGGGUUUGGGGGUGGGGCAGACUCCUGUCCAAAGGCUGACUCCCCUCAAAUAACAAUCAGUGAGCAAGAGCUUUGAGAGAUGGAGGGAGGGGCUACAUGUAGAAAGAGCACAGACAGUGCUGACAGUAAUCAUCAGUAGUGUGGUGGUCUGAUCAGUGUCAUCUUGAGUGUUUUCAGUACAGUUAAUCUUCAAUUCCAGGGUCAGUUUGUUCCAAUUUCUUUGAGGCCAGCUCUCAGAAUUGUGACUGCUUAUGUCAUGGCUACAGUCCUGUCAUCUUGUAGUUAGCUUCUUCUACCUGGUGGGAGUUUUAAUAUCUAUAAAAGCUCAAGGAAUAUAGCUCAGAAUAUUGUCUAUAGCCUUUGAGAAGGAACUAAAGAUCCUUGACUUUGUUCAAUGACUGAAUUAUUAUUAUUUGAUCUCUUUUGACUGUUUUCCUUUAUUUCUGCCUUUUCUCACUUCUCUGAUUACACUUGUAUUUUGGCUAAAGUUUUUCCUCAGACAAAAGGCAGACUGAGGACAUGGGGGCUAAGGGCCCCAAGGUUCUGCUCCAUUUCACCCUGACCUGGAACUCAUCGCUCCUCCUUGUCCUACUGCUGAGCAAUUCAGAGCUCCUAGUUCAACUGACUUGAAUAGAACUGAAUUUAAUGUUUCCCUUCAAUGCAUUUCUGAUAAUGUUUUUAUGAGGAAACACACAGCAAGCUUCACAGAAGCUUCGCUUCACUUCAGUUCCUUAGUGUGAGCAUUUUAAACCCAGUGUUCUCUGACCCCCCUCAGGUCUUUAUCAGUGGGCACAUGAGGCAGUGUCUCUGGGUCACCCAAAGUAAGAAAAGGCUUUCCAGGUGGCACAAAUGGUAAAGAACCCACUUGCCAAUGCAGGAGACAUAAGAGAUGCGGGCUCAAUCCCUGGGUGGGGAAGAUCACCUGGAGGAGGGCAUAGCAAACCCACUCCAGCUGCCUGGAGAAUCCCAUAGACAGAGGAGCCUGGUGGGGUACAGUCGAUAGGAUUGUAAAGAGUUGAACACAACUGAAGUGACUUAGAACACCAUGUAAGAAAAUGUCAUCAUGAUUAGAUUUC
rnacentral:lncRNA from 1 species